ACAGAUGGAUAUCUAGAAAACUAGACGGAGCCUAUAGUGAUUAGCAUACAAACAACAUUACCCGUAACAAAUGCUCUCUGCAGCUGCCCGCUUA